rnacentral:rRNA from 1 species
GAUGAACGCUAGCUACAGGCUUCACACAUGCAAGUCGAGGGACCGGCGCACGGGAGAGUAACACGUAUCAAACCUGCCCUUUACUCGGGGAUAGCCUUUCGAAAGAAAUAUUAAUACCCGACAUAAAGGGUGGGGAUGCGAUUCAUUAGGUUGUUGGUAAGAUAACGGCUAACCAAGCAUUCGAUGGAUAGGGUUUAUGAGAGGAAGUUCCCCCACAUGUGAACUGAGAUCCGGUCCAAACUCUUAUGGGAGGCAGCAGUGAGGAAUAUUGGUCAAUGGGCGCUAGUCUGAACCAGCCAAGUGGCGUGAAGGGUGAAGGCUUAUGGGUCGUAAUCUUCUUUUAUAGAAGAAUAUGUAUUAUAUGAAUAAGGAUCGGCUAACUCCGUGCCAGCAGCCGCGGUAAUAC